rnacentral:SRP_RNA from 1 species
CGGCGGGUCUUAGGCGGGGGGCUAGGGGUCCCCUGACGAGCCCCUAAAAAGGCUCAGACCAUAAACCCUCUACAAGAUGGGCCGAGAGCGGAGUCUGAGUCGCCUAAGAGCGCGUGGUCUACUGUCCUCUGACCAUGAAUACCCGUCCUUCGGGGCUGGCGGUCGUGGAGCGGCUUCCGUAGGGAAGUCUGUUUCCAUGUUUACCAGGCGAACCUGGCCAGGCCCGGGAGGGAGCAACCUAAGUCUGGACGUUCAGCGCUCGAGGGGGUGCGGGUACGAGUAAAGAGGCGGCGGGAUCAAGCGAAUACUGAGCGACGAAACCCCGUGACCCGCCG